rnacentral:lncRNA from 1 species
GUAAGAGAGAGCAGGUGACUAUGCCUCUAUGUUCUGCAUGAGCUGUAGUUGUGGAGGAAAAAGAAAAGACAUGUAGAAAACGAAACAGAGAGAGGACACGGAGGAAAAGUAGAAGGAUUUGGGCUAGCACCUUCUUUGGAUCUUCGGAUCGAAAUCUUUGAAAGGCAAGUUUCCCGAUCGUUUCUCCUGUAAUUGUUCAAUCCUUUCUAUUGCAAGUGUUCCGAUCCUUUCUAUUGUAAGCUUUCUAAUCUUUCCUAUUGCAAGUGUCUUGAUCUUUCCUUACUGUAAUUUUAUCUCUACAUUUGCUUUGAAUAUGAGGAACUUUGAAUUGUUCUAGUCGUGCAUUUUAUAUAUCUCCUGUUUAGACGAAACGAUUCGAAUCUAUGCAACAUUUUAGAUUCUGACCUUUUGAUACUGAACUGCCUAUAAGUCCUGUUGAAAACUUUGAUUUAUUCAUAUCUUAUUACAUUGGAAACUAGACUCGUAGAUCUUUCUUUUGAUACCUGGAUUAAAAAAUUUAGAGUCCAAAUGUCUGCUCAGUUAUCUAUUGAAUCCGACCCUUUGGAUUAUGCAAAAUAAUGAUUUUGUUUUCUGACCUUUGGUUACUAAAUCAAUUUUAACUCUUUGUUGGAAACUUCGAUUCAUAUGAGACUUGUUUUAUCUGAAAAUAGAUUGAAAUAUCUUUCCAAUGAUAUAUUUUUGAGUAAAUUGGAGCACGAUUGAUAGUUCGAAUCAUUUGUUCAAUGUGCCUCUUGAAUUCUGCCAGAAAUCGAGCUUUGGUCGAUUUCGCAUAUUCUGGUUUCAUUCCUUUGGAAAUUGAUAUCUGUUAGCUUUCUUAUUCAAUUAAGCUUUAUAUUACUGCUUUGAAUUCUUGUAUGCUCUUGUCCUAUAUGUAUUUGGAUACCUAAAUCUGUUAUGUAAACUUCAUGUUUGUAUCGUAAUGUUUCAUAAAGGCACAUGUACAUUUCGUUGUUCCGCAUGUGCUUCCGAUAUGUCCCAAUUUAUUGUUCACAAUACCCUUUUGUACUCUGGUGUUUGUGGGAUUAUUUGGACCUUUGCCAGAAAUGGUAAAGGGUAUGUUCUUAGAGCCCGCGAUGCUCUAGAUUAUGUUUGGUGGUCAUUCAGAAAUGGAUGGACCAUAUUAUGUUUGGAAUCCCACUUCACCAUCUAUCUGUUUGAUAUGAAAUUCAGAGCUGACCUAGCACUUGGGCAGGGUGAGAGGGCUCGAGUAGGAAAGGGCUACCAGUGGAUGGAGUCGAGAACUCAUCACGGCGUGGAGCCACCACUGAGUUAAACCUCACAUGCACUAUGCUAGGGUACGACGUCUGAGCUUCUGUUUCGUAUUUUGUAUUGAUAUGCUCCAAAAUGUUUCCUAUGCCAUUGAUAUACUUCAAAAUGCUUCACAUACCUUUGAUAUGUUCCGAAAUGUUCCAUUUGUUAUAGAUAUGCUCCGGAACAUUUAGUAUGCUAUUGAUAUGCUCCAAUUACUCUAUGCUCCAUUUGUUAUGAACCAAAUAUGUUAUAAAUGAAAUGACAUUUGCGAUUUUGUAUCUAAUGAGAUGAUAUCCUUGAAUCUCUUGGAUUUUGUCUUGCAUUGUGAUAUCUUGUUUGUUUGAAAAUGUCCCUUCUCAUGCUAUAUAUACUUUGUUACUUGCUGAGCUGUUUUUAGCUCACUCCGUUGUUAUAUAAAUCUUUCAGGUCAGCUUGUCACUCUUUGAGAUGUUUGAAUUGGGUUGAGGCAGUGGAGAGCUAUUCUGAAUUAUGGGCAAGUCUUGUUGGUUAUUAUGUUAUUGUUGUAUAAGCAUAUUUUGUAUGAAAUGAAAUGUUAUCGAUGAAUCGAAAUGGAUAUACUGUGUAAAAGUGUUAGAAGAUCUCUCUUAUUUGGAAUUUCAGAAUGUUAAGUCUAAUUUAUGAUGAUAUGAACUUGUGGUGAAUAGUUGGAGUUCUGAUUGUAUAAUUUAUUUAGCUUGCGGAUUUAUAAAUGUUGUUCAUGUUUGUCAAGUUGGCUUGGGUUGCCAUAAAUGUGAAUUAUCGAGUGAUGUGAUAUAUGAUUAUAAACUGCAUAGGUUUUAUAGAUGUGAAUUUGAUAGAAUGUUUUUCAGUGUCCUCAAAUGUGUGUUUGGAUCCUAGAUUGGUUUGUGAUGAAAAUUUUAAAUAUCAUGGAUAUUUGAGGGG